UAGGGAAUAUUGGUCAAUGGACGAAAGUCUGAACCAGCCAUGCCGCGUGAAGGAUGAAGGCCCUCUGGGUCGUAAACUUCUUUUAUUAGGGAAGAAACCUCAGGAUGCGUCCUGAGCUGACGGUACUUAAUGAAUAAGGAUCGGCUAACUUCGUGCCAGCAGCCGCGGUAAGACGAAGGAUCCAAGCGUUGUCCGGAUUUACUGGGUUUAAAGGGUGCGUAGGCGGAAAAUUAAGUCAGUGGUGAAAGCCCGCAGCUCAACUGUGGAACUGCCAUUGAAACUGAUUUUCUUGAAUAUAGCUGAGGCAGAUGGAAUAUAACAUGUAGCGGUGAAAUGCUUAGAUAUGUUAUAGAACACCGAUUGCGAAGGCAGUCUGCUAAACUAUUAUUGACGCUGAGGCACGAAAGCGUGGGGAGCGAACAGG
rnacentral:rRNA from 1 species